rnacentral:rRNA from 1 species
UACGGAGGGUGCGAGCGUUGUCCGGAAUCACUGGGCGUAAAGGGCGCGUAGGUGGCCACUUCAAGCGUGCGGUGAAAGUCGGGGGCUCAACCCCUGAUCGGCCGUGCGAACUGGGGGGCUGGAGCACUGUAGAGGCAGGCGGAAUUCCGGGUGUAGCGGUGGAAUGCGUAGAUAUCAGGAAGAACACCGGUGGCGAAGGCGGCUCGCUGGGCCAGUUCUGACACUCAUCCGCGAAAGCGUGGGGAGCAAACAGG